rnacentral:rRNA from 1 species
AGGAUUAACGCUGGCGGCGUGCCUAACACAUGCAAGUCGAACGAGGUAGCAAUACCUAGUGGCAGACGGGUGAGUAGCGCGUGGUCAACCUACCGUUGAGUGGGGGAUAACUAGCCGAAAGGUUAGCUAAUACCGCAUACGUCUCCGAGGGGCAUCCCUUGGCGAUAAAAGGAGCAAUCCGCUCGAUGACGGGACCGCGUCCCAUUAGCUAGUUGGUGGGGUAACGGCCUACCAAGGCAUCGAUGGGUAGCUGGUUUGAGAGAGCGACCAGCCACACUGGGACUGAGAUACGGCCCAGACUCCUACGGGAGGCAGCAGUGAGGAAUUUUCCGCAAUGGGCGAAAGCCUGACGGAGCGACGCCGCGUGUGGGAAGAAGGCCUUCGGGUCGUAAACCACUGUCGAAGGGGAAGAGUAAUGACGGUACCCUUGGAGGAAGCCCCGGCUAACUACGUGCCAGCAGCCGC